ACCUUAAGGUUCUUUGGCGUUUGUUGUGACAACGUGCAAACCUGAGGAUGGGGAGACGAUUGUGAAGGCUUUUCAGCCAUUGAAGCUCUGAACUAAGCUGAUUUAAGCGGUUGUUGCAAAGAAAACGCAAGGAAGAAGAAGAAGCGCGUGCACUACACGCAGGCGCGUGAGGAGCCGCGACUGGGCGUGCUCCUGGCGCGUGGGACAGACACACCGAGGAUGUGAGGGUGCGUGAAGCAUCAUUUCGGUUCCCGGUCUAAUUGGAAGGAAUUAUGUUGAAAUACCCUAUUAAAUGUACAUUCAAGAGAGAAAGGGAUUCGAAACCAGAUUUAGUUGAUGCAGGCCAACCGAGGACGAGGACGAGACUAGCGGGCUAGAGACUAUUUGGGAAUCCAUGUCUGUGUCUGUUUUGUGUACUUAUGCUUUCGCUGUCAAGAAUUUACUUCGGUUGUUUUAAGUUUAAAUAGCACUGGUUUUAAAUGUUUUA